rnacentral:rRNA from 1 species
ACGCUCGACACCUACUGGAGGCAGCAGUUGGGAAUAUUGGACAAUGGAGGAAACUCUGAUCCAGUGACGCCGCGUGAAGGAAGAAGGUCUUCGGAUUGUAAACUUAUUUUGUCAGGGAAGAAAAAUGACUGUACCUGAAGAAAAAGCACCGGCUAACUACGUGCCAACAGCCGCGGUAAUCUGAGCGGGCUGGCAAGGC